CCCCACGGUGAGGGGGAGCAGGAGCAGGGUGGAGGGGGAGCCGUGCUCGGGGCUGGCGUUGCUGGAGUUGGAGCUGGUGCCGUUAGCCGCCCGGACCACCUAACGGAGAAGAAACAGUUAGAAGAGGAAUCGGACAUAACGAGGGAAAACGGUUGCAGAACGAGUCAGGAUUGGGUGGUUAUUUGGACCAUGCAUGGUUGGAUAUAGCAGUGUGGAGCAGAGGGAGCAGCAGGGAGAAGGAGCUCAUCAUCCCAGUGGAUCCACUGUUGCUAGCCUUCCUGGUGGUAGAGACGAUGUGGUGGGCUGGUUCUACUGAAAACCCGACACAAGGACACAUUCUUCUAAAAGUGAACAUAAUUAAAGAAACCAACCUGUGAGGGACAGCCAGCAGGUAAACUGCCAGGAGGGCAGCUGUCAUCUUGUUUGCCGUUGAAGCAGACCACCAAUGAAUUAUUUCAGCUGGUUUAUUUAAUGACUGAAGAAAAAGUACCUGCCAAGAUAUUUAUACGCCUAUAAAAAAUUCAUAUAUGAUUUCCCACACAUGUAAAUCUUUGGGUCAUCUUUUGUGGUAUUUGCAUGGCAAAUGGUCUCACUAUUGUUAUUACCUGCAGCAAAAAUGUCGUAUUGGUUCCAUUUACAAGACAACACUUCGACUUCCUUAGAAGAGAAGCUGGAAAAUAUCCCAAUUUUUGUUUUUGUCCA